GGGGAUAUAGCUCAGUUGGGAGAGCACCUGCCUUGCAAGCACGGGGUCAUGAGUUCGAAUCUCAUUAUCUCCACCA
rnacentral:tRNA from 1 species